AGGUACUUAGUCUAAAAAAAAUAUUUGGUUUCGGCCCAAAAGCUUGUGGUUAAAGUCCACAAUUACCUA
rnacentral:tRNA from 1 species